rnacentral:rRNA from 1 species
UCCCUACGGGGGGCAGCAGUGGGGAAUAUUGCACAAUGGGGGAAACCCUGAUGCAGCGACGCCGCGUGAGCGAAGAAGUAUUUCGGUAUGUAAAGCUCUAUCAGCAGGGAAGAAAAAUGACGGUACCUGAGUAAGAAGCACCGGCUAAAUACGUGCCAGCAGCCGCGGUAAUACGUAUGGUGCAAGCGUUAUCCGGAUUUACUGGGUGUAAAGGGAGCGUAGACGGUUAAGUAAGUCUGGAGUGAAAGGCCGGGGCCCAACCCCGGGACUGCUCUGGAAACUAUUGAACUUGAGUGCAGGAGAGG